rnacentral:lncRNA from 1 species
GGGAGUCCAUGUGGGGUUCCAGCCAUAGCAGUGGAGCCAUGGCCGCAGCUCUCCUACUAUCAUCCGGGCUCGAGCUUGGCCUAUAGAAGGUUAAUUUUUUUUACCUACCAACUUCUAAUUUUCAAAGAUCGAAAGCAAUUGACUGAGAUUCUUUUGGUUGUUCCGGUGCAGACGUUUAGCUCCAAGGAUGAAGGGGAGGAGAGGAGAUGGAGAGGGAAUGGAGAAAUCUAAUUUAUCUAAAUCGGCCACCUCCAUCCCUCUCUCUUUGAUUUCUCUCUCUCCUCACUACCGGCUAGUGCUGGAAUCGUUGCCCAGGCUUUCCUCAGCAAGAUAUUAAAUGCGGCGUCACCGAUGGGUUCCCUCCGACCGUUGCGCACACCACAAUCGUAGCCAGUCGGAUCGGGAACACGAGAGGCAAGACGGACAAGUGAUUGCUCCUGAACAUAACGAAGCACUUUUUGUUUUGCAUUGUGCUCAUUCGUCACUCAAGUUUCGAUGGACCGGUACCUGUAGAUUUAUCUGCAGAUUUUUGCUGUAUCCUAUAUUGUCACGCCUACCAAAAUGAAACAUCUGUAGUAACUUUAAG